rnacentral:rRNA from 1 species
CCUACGGGAGGCAGCAGUGAGGAAUAUUGGUCAAUGGACGAGAGUCUGAACCAGCCAAGUAGCGUGAAGGAUGACUGCUCUAUGGGUUGUAAACUUCUUUUAUAUGGGAAUAAAAUGUUCCACGUGUGGGAUUUUGUAUGUACCAUAUGAAUAAGGAUCGGCUAACUCCGUGCCAGCAGCCGCUGUAAUACGGAGGAUCCGAGCGUUAUCCGGAUUUAUUGGGUUUAAAGGGAGCGUAGGUGGUUUGUUAAGUCAGUUGUGAAAGUUUGCGGCUCAACCGUAAAAUUGCAGUUGAAACUGGCAGACUUGAGUACAGUAGAGGUGGGCGGAAUUCGUGGUGUAGCGGUGAAAUGCUUAGAUAUCACGAAGAACUCCGAUUGCGAAGGCAGCUCACUGGACUGCAACUGACACUGAGGCUCGAAAGUGUGGGUAUCAAACAGGAUUAGAUACCCCAGUAGUC